AUUGAACGCUGGCGGCAUGCCUUACACAUGCAAGUCGAACGGUAACAGGUUAAGCUGACGAGUGGCGAACGGGUGAGUAAUAUAUCGGAACGUGCCCAGUCGUGGGGGAUAACGUAGCGAAAGCUACGCUAAUACCGCAUACGAUCUACGGAUGAAAGCGGGGGAUCGCAAGACCUCGCGCGAUUGGAGCGGCCGAUAUCAGAUUAGGUUGUUGGUGAGGUAAAAGCUCACCAAGCCUGCGAUCUGUAGCUGGUCUGAGAGGACGACCAGCCACACUGGGACUGAGACACGGUCCAGACUCCGACGGGAGGCAGCAGUGGGGAAUUUUGGACAAUGGGCGAAAGCCUGAUCCAGCCAUUCCGCGUGCAGGAUGAAGGCCCUCGGGUUGUAAACUGCUUUUGUACAGAACGAAAAGGUUUCUACUAAUACUAGGAGCUCAUGACGGUACUGUAAGAAUAAGCACCGGCUAACUACGUGCCAGCCGCCGCUGUAA
rnacentral:rRNA from 1 species